CCUACGGGAGGCAGCAGUGAGGAAUAUUGGUCAAUGGGCGUGAGCCUGAACCAGCCAAGCCGCGUGAGGGAUGAAGGUCCUACGUAUCGUAAACCUCUUUUAUCAGGGAACAAAGUGGGGGACUAGUCCCCUGUUGUAGGUACCUUAUGAAUAAGGAUCGGCUAACUCCGUGCCAGCAGCCGCGGUAAUACGGAGGAUGCGAGCGUUAUCCGGAUUUAUUGGGUUUAAAGGGUGCGGAGGUGGCUUGUUAAGUCAGGUGUGAAAGGCCGGGGCUCAACCGGGGAAGUGCAGUUGAAACUGGCAGGCUGGAGUUGGGGAGAGGUACGCGGAAUUCGUGGUGUAGCGGUGAAAUGCUUAGAUAUCGCGAAGAACUCCGAUUGCGAAGGCAGCUUACUGGACCGACACUGACGUUGAGGCACGAAAGCGUGGGUAUCGAACAGGAUUAGAUACCCGAGUAGUC
rnacentral:rRNA from 1 species